UAAGCCGUAGAGAACCAUUGUUGCAUCAUCUUUGAAGAGAGAGAGGGACUUGUGUCUCUGAAACUCGAGAUCUUGUUUCUGAUCUGGUGAUCUAUCGCCUUAUAGAUAACACCCACCGUUCUGAAAGGCCUUGCAUGGAUCCGACCGUUCCGUUCAUUCCAAAUCCAAUAGAGAGUAGCUUGCCAAACGAGGAGGGAGAUCAAUGUAACCGCUUUUCCACCCCUUAGGGAACCCAUCUGUGCUACCGUUUGCUCCCACGAACUGACAGGAGCGAGGCAACACCGAGUGGAGAGACGCGACCAUAGUUCAAAGUUGAAAGCGCAAUCGAAAAAGAGAUGAUUGCGAGACUCUGGGUGCAUGUUGCAUAGCACACAAGUUUGAUCCACCUGAAGACCCCAGCUUCUCAUUCGAUCCUUUGUUGGACAACGAUUCAAAUAGACUAGCCAAGCGUGGAAAGAGUGGCGUGGAAUAGCAUGAGGAAACCAAAUCAUCUUAGUCCAUCUUUUGAUCUCUAUUUCUCCUCUGAUGUAGCAGACACCAGUUCCCAUUCCGAUAUAGCGAAGCAACCGUUGCUUUAUGCGGAAUACCAAGUCUCGAGUUGGAGGAAGACGUGAUAGCGGUAAUGCAACCCAUUGGAGCUCAAUUAUGAUGCCAGAAUAAAGCCGAUCUUCCAUUUUCUAGCCUCAGCUUAAUGAGGGGAAAGAUAAUAGGUCGAAGCUUUAUCAAUUUGUUUACUAACCAGGAGUGAGAUUGGCUUGGCUUAAUUGUCCAGUAGUUGUGCAAUGAGCCUUUGAGGAUUACUUCUUUAAACCAGAUCACCCACACUGAGUCCUCUCCGAAGAAGAUCAUCCAAAUGAGGAGUAGGCAACACGCUUUGUUCCAGGCUUUAGGGAGUAUAUAGGCAGAGUACCAGAAGGUCGUGAUUCCCGUUAUCACUGUCUUUAUAAGAAGCAGCCGACCCGA